GACGAACGCUGGCGGCGUGCUUAACACAUGCAAGUCGAACGGAAAGGCCCUGCUUUUGUGGGGUGCUCGAGUGGCGAACGGGUGAGUAACACGUGAGUAACCUGCCCUUGACUUUGGGAUAACUUCAGGAAACUGGGGCUAAUACCGGAUAGGAGCUCCUGCUGCAUGGUGGGGGUUGGAAAGUUUCGGCGGUUGGGGAUGGACUCGCGGCUUAUCAGCUUGUUGGUGAGGUAGUGGCUACCACGGCUUUGACGGGUAGCCGGCCUGAGAGGGUGACCGGCCACAUUGGGACUGAGAUACGGCCCAGACUCCUACGGGAGGCAGCAGUGGGGAAUAUUGCACAAUGGGCGGAAGCCUGAUGCAGCAACGCCGCGUGCGGGAUGACGGCCUUCGGGUUGUAAACCGCUUUCGCCUGUGACGAAGCGUGAGUGACGGUAAUGGGUAAAGAAGCACCGGCUAACUACGUG
rnacentral:rRNA from 1 species